GAGACUGUGGCUCAGUGGUAGAGCAUCUGCUUGGUAUGCAGAAGGUCCCAGGUUCAAUCUCUGGCAUUUCCA